rnacentral:tRNA from 1 species
CUCCGUGUAGGUCAGCCCGGUAGACCGCUUGCUUUGGGAGCAAGAUGUCGGUGGUUCAAAUCCACCCAUGGAGACCA